rnacentral:rRNA from 1 species
AUUGAACGCUGGCGGCAUGCUUUACACAUGCAAGUCGAACGGUAACAGGGUGCUUGCACCGCUGACGAGUGGCGAACGGGUGAGUAAUGCGUCGGAACGUGCCGAGUAGUGGGGGAUAACGCAGCGAAAGUUGUGCUAAUACCGCAUACGUACUGAGGUAGAGAGUGGGGGACCUUCGGGCCACACGCUAUUCGAGCGGCCGACGUCUGAUUAGCUAGUAGGUGAGGUAAAGGCUCACCUAGGCGACGAUCAGUAGCGGGUCUGAGGGGAUGAUCCGCCACACGGGGGCUGAGACACGGCCCAGACUCCUACGGGGGGCAGCAGUGGGGAAUGUUGGACAAUGGGCGAAAGCCUGAUCCAGCCAUGCCGCGUGUCUGAAGAAGGCCUUCGGGUUGUAAAGUACUUUUGUCGGGGAGGAAAUCCCCAGCGUUAAUACCGCUGGGGGAUGACAGUACCUGAAGAAUAAGCACCGGCUAACUACGUGCCAGCAGCCGCAGUAAUAC